rnacentral:rRNA from 1 species
AUGAACGCUGGCGGCGUGCCUAAUACAUGCAAGUCGAGCGCACAGAUAAGGAGCUUGCUCCUUUGACGUUAGCGGCGGACGGGUGAGUAACACGUGGGUAACCUACCUAUAAGACUGGGAUAACUUCGGGAAACCGGAGCUAAUACCGGAUAAUAUUUCGAACCGCAUGGUUCGAUAGUGAAAGAUGGUUUUGCUAUCACUUAUAGAUGGACCCGCGCCGUAUUAGCUGGUUGGUAAGGUAACGGCUUACCAAGGCGACGAUACGUAGCCGACCUGAGAGGGUGAUCGGCCACACUGGAACUGAGACACGGUCCAGACUCCUACGGGAGGCAGCAGUAGGGAAUCUUCCGCAAUGGGCGAAAGCCUGACGGAGCAACGCCGCGUGAGUGAUGAAGGUCUUCGGAUCGUAAAACUCUGUUAUUAGGGAAGAACAUACGUGUAAGUAACUGUGCACGUCUUGACGGUACCUAAUCAGAAAGCCACGGCUAACUACGUG